rnacentral:snRNA from 1 species
AGCUUUGCGCAGUGGCAGUAUCGUAGCCAAUGAGGUUUAUCCAAGGCAUGAUUAUUGCUAGUUUGACAGAGUGAGAGCACAAGCAGGGGGUGUGGCAGGCAGAGGGAGAGGGACAAGCAGGCUCCCCACUGAGCAGAGAGCCCAAGUUGGGGGCUCCAUCCCAGGA